GUCCAGACUCCUACGGGAGGCAGCAGUGGGGAAUAUUGCACAAUGGGGGAAACCCUGAUGCAGCGACGCCGCGUGAGCGAUGAAGUAUUUCGGUAUGUAAAGCUCUAUCAGCAGGGAAGAAGAUGACGGUACCUGACUAAGAAGCCCCGGCUAACUACGUGCCAGCAGCCGCGGUAAUACGUAGGGGGCAAGCGUUAUCCGGAUUUACUGGGUGUAAAGGGAGCGUAGACGGCGAUGCAAGCCAGAUGUGAAAGCCCGGGGCUCAACCCCGGGACUGCAUUUGGAACUGUGUGGCUGGAGUGUCGGAGAGGCAGGCGGAAUUCCUAGUGUAGCGGUGAAAUGCGUAGAUAUUAGGAGGAACACCAGUGGCGAAGGCGGCCUGCUGGACGAUGACUGACGUUGAGGCUCGAAAGCGUGGGGGGCAAACAGGAUUAGAUACCCUCGUAAU
rnacentral:rRNA from 1 species